rnacentral:rRNA from 1 species
CCUUAUAGUAAAAUAUCAAUUUAAUGAGGACUAAUAAAUUAAUUAUAAACUCAAACUUUAUGGCGGCAAAUGUAACCAACAGGGGAACUUACUUCGUAAAUGAUAAUCACCAAGAUAUACUACCUCAACUUAAAAGUCUGUAUACCGUCGUUAUAAAGGGACCCAUAAAGAGUUCUUAAAAUAUAUUACUAAAAUUCAUUUUAUAACAGAUCAAGGUGCAACCUAUGUAGAGGCGAAAGCGAGUUACAAUAAUUUAUUUAUUUCGUAACUACAAAUGAAAAAUGUAAGUAAGAUGGACUUGUAAGUAUAAUUAUUAUAUUAAAAUUAUUAAUAGAAUAAACACUAUAUUUGUGC